rnacentral:lncRNA from 1 species
UGGCUGAAGCCUCAUUUGUUGUUUCUUUGAUAAAUUUGGAUGAAAAUAUUUUUUUUAAGGUCGUUCAGCGUUACCUUUUUUUUUUUUUUUUUUUUUUUUGGUGAAUAGGUUGCUGGGCUGAAAUAGAUUUCUUUGUAAAAUGUCAAGUUAAGCAGUUCCACCCCUCCACCCUGCUGCACAUGCAGGUGCCUCAGUGCCACCAGGGUCCUUCUGCAGCUGCAGGUAUAUAAGAACAAAUGGGAGAGACAAGCAUGAACAGAAGCAGAACAAAUGGAAAAGGUAUCCCAGCAUGAAGAGCAAUGCUGCUCCUGGAACUCCUGAGUGCUCCUGCUCUGGCUUGGCCAGAACAGCUCCAGAGAGCGCUGGAGUGUGACCUGCUGGGACCUCGUAGCUGAUGGCAUGUGUGGGCUGGCGUUGGGGUGAGAGUGAUGGAGCCCCAGCUGCCCACCUGGACACCUCCCCAGGGCGUGGAGCACCCAAGAUCUCCAAAAAUCCCACUGAUGUCUGUGCACCUGGACCCACACCUGCAGCCAGACUGGCUCACUGUGAGUAUAAGAGCCACGGACAGGACUGAGCUGGGGUGGACAUGUGGGGAAGGAAAAUGAAACAAACAAACAAAUAAAAUAAUAAUAAUUUAAAAAAAAGCAAGUGAGACUAUUCAAAAGGGGGACUUUAUUUUUAUUACACUGGAGCCAGGCGUCAGUGCGCCAGUUCAGCUUUGAUACACAAUAAAUCAGCAAACCUGUCACUCAGUUUGGAAACCAAGAUUGCAGUGGCACUAAAAACACAUUGAAAACAUUUACUCUCUUCCCUUUUUUUUUUUUUUUUUUCCCU